rnacentral:lncRNA from 1 species
GAGAGGAAAUAUGCAAUUAAAGUCACAAAAAUUGAGAAAAAUAAUUAAAAUAACAAAACACUAAUAACUUUAGGAGGUGUUAAAAUAGUGCAAAAAUUAGGUGUUCACAACUGCCCCUCUUUGCUCGAGAAUAUGAAGAGUUUUCGUGCAAAGAAAAAUGAAUGUCAUAGUUAAUUUUUGCUCACAUGUCACUCCAAUGGAAGCAAUUUUUUUUUUUUUGAAAAAAGGUGACCAAACCUUGCUUCCGAGGCUGCCUACAUAUCCUUGGCUAUAAAGGAAUCAGGUCGGUGUAGUUUUGGAAAUAUUUGGUAGCUGGGACUACCGGAGACUAGAGUUGAGACUGUUGUUGCUGUUGCUGUCGUUGUUGCUAUUGCUGUUACUCGCUUCUUACAUCAAAAAAGAAAAAGAGAAGAGUACUAUAUAUGUCUGCAAACUAAGAGUACAAAAUUCCUAUCUAUGCGUCUUUUGGAGUCAAAUCUUGAUUCUUGACCUGCUCGCUUGCGUUGACCUUAGAUUGGAUUUUGAUACUCUUUAAAGAAACGAUUAUGACUCAAUUUCACUUGCUUGCUUUCCUGAUCUGAAAUAGAGAAGAUGAAUCUUGAGAAGCUGGGUUACUGACACAUUGUCAAAGUUAACUCCAACUAUCAUGUGAUCGAAAAACUUCUUCCUUCUGAUGAGAAACUGAAACUGCAAGCUUUAAUCUUCACUUGUGCCAUACGUCCGAGCCUACAAAACCAUCAAAGACAAACAAAAACGAACAAAAAAAAAUUCUGCCCCAGUCUGGCACUAGAAAAUUUUUGUGAGUUAUUAGAGAAAUCUGUAAAUUAUCUAAUUUAUUGAAAAGGCAGACAGAAAUAGUAGUAUAAACUAGCUAAAAGAGAUAAAAUUUGGUAACGAAUGAUUGUGUAACCAGGGAUCGGUAUCUCGUACUACUGAAAGGAAAUGUAAUCAGGGGCUGGUACUUUCUCUUACUAGAAGGAAAUAGAAUCGGGUGUUAUCACCAUGUAUUAUUGAUAAAGUGUUGAAUCCUUUUAGGUGAAAAAAGGAUCGAUCUGAGUUAAACUGUAUUAAACAACCUGAGCGAAGAUUACUUCUACCCGAAACUACGAACUGGAUCCCCCUAGGCGAAACGGUUCUACCUGGGUUAAGCUACGUAAAACACCCUGAGCGAAGAUUACUUCUACCCAGAACUACGAACUGGAUCCCCUAGGCGAAACGGUUCUACCUGGGUUAAGCUACGUAAACAACCUAGAGCGAAGAGUACUUCUACCCGGAAACUAGGAGCUGGAUCCCCCUAGGCGAAACUGUUCUACCUGAGUUAAGCUACGUAAAACACCCUGAGCAAAGAGUACUUCUACCCAAAAAUUAUAAGCUGGAUCCCCCUAGGAGAAACGGUUAUACCUGGGUUAAGCUACGUAAAACACCCUGAGCGAAGAGUACUUCUACCCGGAAAUGGUUCUACCUGGGUUAAGCUACGUAAAACAACCUGAGCGAAGAGUACUUCUACCCGG